GAGCAUCUUAAUGUUGUCAAACUUGGCUGCAGCCAAAGUGUAAAAAUUUUGCUUUCUAUUACCAAGUUAUUUUUGCAACAGACACUCUUAUAUUUUGUUACUAAGUAAGACAACAGCAUCUCUCGAUCCCGUGUUAGGCUGUAUCACCGGGUCUCACUCUGCCUCUGACUCUUGCGGGGCUCAAACUUGACCCCCAGAGAUCCAGGAGGGCCAUGAGGGGCAGUAUUGAAGUGAAGCCCGGGGAGGGGGAGAGCUUGAGGAAUGGAGUGAGAAGAGCUAUAAGUUGGUGCUGUUUGCCAGGGUUGGUGUCUACAGAGGGCCAGGGGAAUUCCAAGCGAGGGAAGCAAGGAGAACUUCUUGGACUCCUCAAGUUCUACCAGAAGGCAGUGCUAUGGUGUGCCCAACCCUCCCAGGGGCCUAAAUGGCCACCCUCUUGGGAAUGCCCAAAGCAUCUGCUAUUUAGGACUUGGUUACAGAGCGCCAUCAGCUUCCCCAAGGUUUGUUUUAUUUGCCACCAAACUGCCUGCCCACAACAUGUGGCACUCAGGACAUCCAGGUGUGUGCCGCAGGGCAUCAGGGAGAUAAAUUAUGCUUAUGUGCCUGGGACAACAGCCUCAACUGAUCACUCAGCUUUGAAUAACACCUGGCUACCUUGAGGACUGUGAGCCCUGCUGACCAUGGAAGUGGGAAAGGGAAAUAUUUCUGGUGAUGGCUCACCAGUUACAAUUGGCAAAGCAACCUUGAGAGGAUUAAAGUGACCCUUAGAGGAAGCGCGAGAGGUUAUGAUCAUCCCCAAAUAGGUGUGGCACCUGCUAUGAACAAGCUGUCAUGUUAAGUGCCCUGGGAAUAAAACACAGGUGCAAAAGUCUCUGCCCUCGAGGACCAUACGAAAAGACUGGCUGGAGAAAUAAUGAUGUAUAUGAGAGCAAUAGCCCUAACCAAGGUAACAUAUGAUAAAUACACAGGAGAUAUAUAGAAGAAAGCUCACUUCUGACAAGGCAGAUGUGGGAAAAAGAGGUUUGAGCUUCCCCCAGUCUCUCUUGACUCACUGUGUGAAUGAAUCAAUCUGUAAAUGGCCCUUGAGGGAUCUCUGGAUAAGAUUUCAACAGGUACAGAGGAGAAAUUAGGGCAUAUGGUUAGAAGGGAGAAAGAUAGGGUGGGGAGGGAAAAACCCAAGAUGUGACGAAUAGAAAACACAUUUUAUUUGGAGAGAGGAAGAGCUUGAGCACACACGUAGACAAGACUAUGGCGGAGGGCUCAUUUAGGGAGCUAGUGGAUGGAAAGCCUGGAAGGUAGAUUAAAUGACCCAUCUCAAGGGUCAUGGGGAGCCAUUGGCAUUUUGUUAGAUUAGUAAGAGUGACACCCAAUUUGUUCUUUGGGAAUAUUAUUGUGGUAGAGCAUGGGUUGGUGGAGGAAGAAAUUAGAGAAAGGAAACCAGUUGGGCAGCUAUUGCAAUAGCCAGGCAAAGACUAAUGAAGGCCUGAUGAGGGCUGUGGUGAUGAGAAUGGGAGAGAGGCAAAGGAUGAAAGAGGUAUUUUGGAAAUACAGUGGCCAUAGCCCGGCAGCUAGUUGGAUAUAGAGGGCCAGAGAGAGAACUGGAAGAUGAACUUAAUGUGAUAGAGAGGGGAGGUGCCACCAACCAAGGCUGAGUUGCUGGUUUUGAGGGAAU
ensembl:lincRNA